AAAUUGUUCAUUUAGUCUUAGGAUUCCAGACAGAAUGUGACAGAAUCUGCAGCACUGAAGAGUUUGAAGAAGUUUCAGUGCACAUAGAGUGACAGUUCUGCAGCAGCAAGGCAGUACUUACCCAACAGAGCAAGUGACAGAUCAGUCAACUGGCCUGAAUCUCUCUCAGAUUCUCUACAGUACUUUGUGGGUCAGACAAACCUUACUGAGUUGCAGCCUUUAAUUGGACAGAGCGGGGGAUGCCUGGCUGUCGACUUCCAUCCGUGAUCAGGAUCGCUCAUGCAGUGGGAGGCAGGCGAAUUCGGAGGUCUGUCUUAAUGCUGGUGGUGCUACAGACUUCUAAAACCAUGUCACCAUACCAGGAACUCUACCACAGAAGUGUCCAGUCAUUCCAGCCAAGCGGAUGCAAAUGUGAUGUUUUAGAACUAACCAACUGAUUAAACAAGUGGCCUGUUUAACCGAACUGAAGUUCAUUAGUUUGUAAUCUAGAAAAUGUUUUUUUUGUUUUUUGUUUUGUUAUAAUUAGGUUUUUAAAAAUGAGAUUUACUGAAUGUUUGACAGUUUUGUAUGUGUUCUGUGCCUUGUGUUACUUCUGUAAACGUG
rnacentral:lncRNA from 1 species